rnacentral:rRNA from 1 species
AUGACAAACCUGUUGCAUACUUUUUCUGAAAAAUUGAGUGGGCGUAGUCUGAACUAUCCUACUUAUGAUAAAGAAUUAUAUGCUCUUGUUUGGACCUUAGAAACACAGCAACAUUAUUUAUGGCCCAAGGAAUUUGUUAUACAUUCUGAUCAUGAAUCUUUGAAACACAUUAAAAGUCAAGCAAAACUAAACCGUAGACAUGCUAAAUGGGUUGAAUUCAUUGAGACUUUCCCUUAUGUCAUUAAACACAAGAAGGGUAAAGAAAAUGUUAUUGCUGAUGCAUUGUCUCGUUGUUAUACUAUGCUUUCACAACUUGACUUUAAAAUAUUUGGUUUGGAGACCAUCAAAGAUGAAUAUGUUCAUGAUGCUGAAUUUAAAGAUGUAUUGCAGAAUUGUAAGGAAGGGAGAACUUGGAACAAGUUCGUUCUUAACGAUGGAUUUGUGUUUCGUGCUAACAAGCUAUGCAUUCCAGCUAGCUCCGUUCGUCUUUUGUUGUUGCAGGAGGCGCAUGGAGGAGGAUUAAUGGGACACUUUGGCGUCAAGAAGACGGAGGAUAUACUUGCUACACAUUUCUUUUGGCCAAAGAUGAGACGGGAUGUUGAGCGUUUUGUUGCUCGCUGCACUACAUGUCAAAAAGCUAAGUCACGGCUCAAUCCUCAUGGUUUAUAUAUGCCUUUGCCUGUACCUAGUGUUCCUUGGGAGGAUAUAUCUAUGGACUUUUUAGGUUUACCUCGAACAAAGAAGGGGAGGGAUAGCAUAUUUGUUGUCGUGGAUAGGUUCUCGAAAAUGGCACACUUUAUACCAUGUCAUAAAAGCGAUGAUGCUGUUAAUGUUGCUGAUUUGUUCUUUCAUAAAAUUAUUCACUUGCAUGGUGUGCCAAAUACUAUUGUUUCAGAUCGUGAUACUAAAUUUCUUAGCCACUUUUGGAGAUGUUUGUGGGCUAAGUUGGGGACUAAACUGCUUUUUAGUACUACUUGUCACCCCCAAACUGAUGGACAAACUGAAGUAGUCAAUAGAACAUUGUCUACUAUGCUUAGGGUUGUUUUGAAGAAUAAUAAGAAAAUGUGGGAAGAAUGCUUGCCUCAUAUUGAAUUUGCUUAUAAUUGUUCAUUGCAUUCUACUACUAAGAUGUGCCCUUUUGAAAUUGUGUAUGGUUUCCUACCUCGUGCACCUAUUGAUUUGUUGCCUCUUCCAUCUUCAGAGAAGGUUAAUUUUGAUGCUAUAGAACGUGCUGAAUUGAUUUUAAAAAUGCAUGAGUUAACUAAGGAAAACAUUGAGCGUAUGAAUGCUAAAUAUAAAAUUGCUGGAGAUAAGGGUAGAAAACAUGUUGUGUUUGCACCUGGAGAUCUUGUUUGGUUACAUUUGCGUAAGGAUAGAUUUCCUAAUUUGUGCAAAUCAAAGCUAAUGCCACGUGCUGAUGGUCCUUUUAAGAUGUUAGAGAAAAUAAAUGAUAAUGCAUAUAAAUUGAGCUGCCUGCAGAUUUUGGGGUUAGUCCCACUUUUAACAUUGUAG